rnacentral:rRNA from 1 species
GACGAACGCUGGCGGCGUGCUUAACACAUGCAAGUCGAGCGGUAAGGCCCUUUCGGGGGUACGCGAGCGGCGAACGGGUGAGUAACACGUGGGUGACCUGCCCUUACGCUCUGGGAUAAGCCCUGGGAAACGUGGGUCUAAUACCGGAUAUGACUCCAUAACGCAUGUUGUGGGGUGGAAAGCCUUGUGCGGCUAGGGAU